rnacentral:lncRNA from 1 species
AUGGACAGGAGCUGCUCAUCCCCUGUGCCGCAUUCAGCCCCGCCGCCACCGCACGUCCCCGGGGGCCGCUCUCAAAAGGGGGAGGUCCCCGGGCAGCAGCGGGCAGCUGGCGCCGGGCAGGGCCGGUGGGGACCCCCCCGCGCCGAGCACGGAGCGCCCCAAAGCCGGCCCGGGGCUCCCCCGGUACCGCUGCGCGGCGGGGGCAAGGCCGGGCUGCGGCCGGGGUGCCCCGACGGGGCGCUGAGGGCCGUGGGGGCACCGGGGGGCCGCGGGGCAGCCCCGGUAACGGAGCGGCCGGGCCCGGGGCCCGCAGGCUCGGCUCCCCCCUCCCGAGCCAGGCCGGGGCUGCGAGCGGGGAACGGGGCCGCAGCUCCGCUCCCGGCACCGGGGGGCGAUUCCCUGGCUUCGGUUUCCGCCCGGUUCUCCCCGUCUCUUCCUCCCCGGUCCCGUCGGAGUCUCCCCGAGGAUGAGGAAGACACCGGGGAAGGCACAGCCGGGGGGCUGCGGGCUCUGCUUGCGGCGCUCCGGAGCUCCCGGGCCGCUGGACCCCGCCGCUCCCCGGUAGCCACCGGCCAGCGGCGGCCGGGCCGGGCCGGGGUUCACGGGGGGGGGGCUGCGGUGACACCCCCGGGGGGUGGCAGCAACGCGCGGCGGCAGCGAUCGCGUCCCUCCCGGCGGCUGCCCCGGGAGCGGCGGCAACGGGCGAGGGGCUCCGGGCGGCGGAACAGGGAGCACUGCCCGCGGCGGGCGGCCGGUACCGGGCCCCCCCCGGAGACCAUGGGGCACGUCGGGGCGCCGCGGCCCGGCCCGUCCAUCCCCAUCCUCAUCCUCAUCCCCCUCCCGGGACGGGCGGCUCCCGGUGCCGCCCCGCACCCUCCACGCCCGGCUCUGCGCACCGGGCGGGCUCCGGCCCCACCGACGGAGCGCAGCGGAGGAGACGGGGCCGCCGGUACCGAGCGAGCCGCCCCGUCCCCGCCCUCCCGCGCCCCGCCACACCCCACAUACCCCACGCAGCGCGUCCCGGGCCUCCGUGCGGGCCGGGCCGGGCCGGGCCGAGCCAUACCGGGCCGGGCCGGGGCCGGGCGGUGUCGGUGUCGGCGCAGCCCCCUGCGCCCUCGCGGCUCUAUAAAGGGCCGCGGACGCCCCGUC